AAACCGACCAAAACUAGCUUUAAA
rnacentral:snRNA from 1 species